rnacentral:lncRNA from 1 species
AACAUGCAUCAUUAUUAGAAUCAUCACCCUGCAGCUAGCUUGGACAUCAUUAGAAGGGCAACAAACGGAUAGAAGUAUCUGAUAUUCGGGAAGACAGAGUUUCAGGGCUUCUACCUGGAGCUACACCCUCCAGAAGCCCCUGCUUGGCCACCCUGCACCCAGCCCCAUCCUAACCAGUCACAACUUGGGCUCUGCAUGGUGCUUCUUGGAAACUGCAACACAGACUCCUCCAGCAGCUCCACAUGUCCCUUGUCCUCAAAUGAGCAGAAGACUUCAGAAGCUGGCUACUGAAGAGGCUGUCCAAGUGGUAGAUCACCUCCUUGGUCCUGCUUAGCACAUUUACCACAGAGCAGUAACUGAAAGCUGGAUAUUGCUUAUUUGUGCUUACCACCUGCAGGGACUGCAGAGGGAUUUGUCAGACCCCACUUCACUAAGGGCCACUCUCUAAGGAUCUCCAGAGAAGGCUAGGAUCUCCAGAGAGGUGGUCUUCCUAGGGUCUGCACUGCCUCAGGUCCUACCUGGCUACCUCUAGGGCUGAGGGAACCAGUAUCUCUUUACCAGCCUGUAAUCCAUAAACCAACUGGAAAAUUCUGCCUGCUGUUUUUGUUCUUUUGGUAUGAAAGAGUUUUAAUAUACUGCUUCAGUUUCUUAAGUAGUUAUAGGACUGUUGAGAAUUUCUUUUUCUUCUUGAGUCAAUUUUGGUAAAAUAGUUUCCUAGGAAUUUGUCCAUUUUUGUCUACGUUUUUGAAUUCAUUAGCACACAGUUCCUUUAUUUUUUUAGUUCUCUGUAUAUAAUCUGUAGCUAUGUCUCCUUUUUCAUUGCUAAUAUUGGUUAUUUGUGCCUUCUCACUUUUUUUCUUGAUCAAUCUCACCAGAGGUUUGUCGAUAUUAUUAGUAUUUUCAAAGAACCAGCUUUUGGCUUUGUUGCUUCUCUCUAUUGUAUCUUUGUUUUCUAUUUCUUUAAUUUCUGCUCUUAUCUUUUUUGAUCUCCUUCCUUCCACAUUUUUUGGGUUUAUUCUGUUAUUCUUUUUCUGAUUUCUUAAAUUGCACAUUUGAGCUCAUUAAUUUUCAAUCUUUCUUGUUUACUAAUUUGUGCAUUUAAGGAUGUGAAUUUCCCUCCAAAUACUGCUUUUCUACAAGUUCAGAUAUGUAGUAUUUUCAUUACUGUUCAGUUCUGAGUACAUGAACAUUUCCAUCACCAUUACUUCUUUGAUCCACGAGCUAUAGAAGUGUGUUUUUAAAUUCCUUAAAUGUUUGGAGAUUUAAAAUUUUACCUCUUUGUUAUUGAAAUCUCUCUUAAUUGCUUUAUGAUCAGAUGAUGUGGUCUGUGUGCUAACAACACUUUGAAAUUUAUUGAGUCUUGUUUUAUGACUUAAACAAGUAUGCAAUCAACAGUUUUUAUUGUUUCCUGUGUGCUUUAAAAGAAUGUGUGUUCUCCAAUUGUUGAAUACAGAGUUCUACAUAUGUCUAUUAUCAAGUUUGUUAACUAUGUCGUUCAAGUAUUAUUUUUCUAAACUGAUCCUUUUGGUCGUGAUCGAUUAGUAAUUGAAAAAGGCAUGUUAGUAUUGAAUGAUGAUGGUGGAUUUGUCAAUUUCUCCUUGUGGUUCUCUCUCUUUUUUGUGGCUUAUGUAUUUUAUUAGGAAUAUACAAAUUAAUAAUUGUUAUAUAUUUCUGGUAAAUAUGUAACACCCCUCUCUAUUCCUAAUAAUGCAUUUUUCCUCAGAGUCUACUUAAUCUUGUAUUAAUGUAGCAGCACAAACAUUUUGUCUUGUUAGGAUUUGUGUGGCAUAUAAUCUUCUAUCCUUUUAGUGUGGAGCAUUUUUGUGUCUUUAUGUUUUAAUUAUAUCUCUUGGAAACUACAUAUAGCUGGACAUUUUUAAAAAAUCAAAAUUAUUACCUCUGUCUUUUAAUUGAAUUUGUUUCUACCAUCACACUUUCUUAUUUCUGUUUUCUACCACCAUUUUCUUUAAUUGUUAUUUUUUAAAUGAAUCAAUUAAUUUCUUUAUUUUUGCGGUGCUGGGAGCCAAACCCAGAAUCUCACACAUACCAGAGUCUCACUCCACCACUGAGGUACAUCCCCAUUCCCUAUCACUGCUUUUUGCAUGCUUCAUUUUCUCUUUUCUCACCUGCUCUUUUGGUUCUAAGAUUUGUUUUCUUACUAUAUUUUCCCCUCCCUAUUGCUUGGAUUUCUUUUUCUAUUCUUUCUGUGGUUAUCCUUGAAAUUUUACCAUGUGUGUUUAACUUAAACUUCUUUUAAAGUUGAACAGUAUUUUAAUCCCCUCUUGAAGAAUGCAGGAAACUUAGAAACCUUCAAUUUUAGUCAUUACCCUUCUGACUACAUACCAUUAUUUGCAAAUAUGUCAGUUUCUUCUUUUUUUUUUGUCCUAACCUCACGAUUGUACGUCGUCAUCCUCAGUAUUAUAUUACAUAGACAGUAUUUGUUUGAACUUACAUGCAUCCAUUCUUACAUCUCAGACCAUCCUUCUAGAAUCAUUUUCUUUCAUUAUGAAUAGAAUUUAAACGUUCUUUUAGCACAAGUCUCUUGGUGUUAAAUUUUCCAAAUAUUUGUUAUAUGUAAACGACUUUAGUUUAUUCUCAUUCUUAAAAGAUAGUUUUUUACAGUACUUAGAGAGAAUAUGAUCUCGUCCUCUUUUAGGUUUGAAAAGUCUUCUUUGUUGCUGUUAAGAAGUACACUGUUGAGCUAGGAAUGUAGCUCAGUGGUAGAGCACUUGCCUAGAAUGUGCAAGAUCCUGAGCUUAAUCUCUAGCACUGCAAAAAAAAAAAAAAAAAAGAAGAAGAAAAAGAAGCACACUAGCACACUAUCAGUCAUCUAAACAUAUUUAGGUAUACAUUUCUUUUCAUGUAUUAUACAUACUUUGGAAAUGUGUUUCAUGGCUCAGUAUAUUCAUGUUUUUUAUAGUUUCUGGGAGAUUCUCAAUCAUUAUCUCCUCAAAUGUUGUCUCUCUUUCAUUCUAUUUUUUAUUUCUCACAAUCUAGCCAUUCAUAUUUUGGAUCUCCAAUCUGUCUUCCAUAUCUCAUAACGUCUCUUUAAUAUUUUCUGUCUUCUUGUACUUCAUUUUGGGCAAUUUCUUCAGAUAUAUCCUUUAGAUUUUUCUCUUCUUCUAUGUCUAAUCUGCUAUUCAAUCUUUCCAUUGAGAUUUUAUUUCAAAAACUAUAUUUUAAUUAGUACAAGAUCCAUAUACUUUACUUUGUAAUUGCUUAGUCAUCCCUUGUAGUCUCUUAUUGUUUAUUCACCUUUGUGAUUACAUCUGUUACUUCUUCAAAUAUUUUAUACAAUUUUCAUUCAACUAGUAGUCACUGUUUGCAUGAAUGUAGUACUGUAAAUGUUGUUCGUGUCUAAACCACAUAAUACAUUCUGAUUACGUAUUCUGUGUUGUAUACCUUUUUGUUUUCCUGGGAGCUAAUGUUUUGUUUUCUUUUGCCUUAAGUUUUAGUACCUUUUAGAAAUUCUUCUCUGAAUUAUUUUUUAAAUCCAAAUCAGACAUGUCCCUUUUCUGCUUGAAAUUCUCCUGUAGAUUCCACCUCCCUCAGAACAAGAGCCACAGCCCUUACCAUGGCCCAAGUGUACCUACCCAAUCUGGUUCCUCUUACCUCUCUGACUUCAUCUCUUGUCACUCUCCUCAUCACUCAUUCUUCUUCAGCCACACUUGUCUUCUUUCUGUUCCUCAAGCAUGCUAGGUAACCUCCCUCUGUAGGGCCCUUGUGCUUGCUAUUCUCACUGCCUAGAACAUCCCUCCUCCCAAAUAAUCUGAUGACUUGCCCAAGUAUUUCCAUUAUGUUCAAAUGUCACCUCCCUAGAGAAGUAUUUCCUGAUCAACAUAUAUAAAACAGCCCCAUUCGCCUCCAUUUUCUUUCUCCUUACAUACUUUGUUAUAUCUUUCUACGAAGCACUGAUCACCACCUGAUAUACUUUAUAUUUAUUUAUUGUGAGUAUGUUUGUCUCUUUCCCAUAGACUGUAAGCUCCACAAAGCAGGGACUUCUGUUUUGUUCGCUGCUGUAUCCCCAGUGCCAAGAAGAGUGCAUCGUAAUAUUUAGUAGACAAUAAAUAUUUG